rnacentral:rRNA from 1 species
GAGAUCCCCAGGACAGGCGGGACUCCCCG